AGCAGCCGCGGUAAUUCCAGCUCCAAUAGCGUAUAUUAAAGUUGUUGCAGUUAAAAAGCUCGUAGUUGAACCUUGGGCCUGGCUGAUCUGUCCUCCUAAUCGAGCGCACGGAUUCGGUCGGGCCUUUCCUCCUGGGGAACCCUAUGCCCUUCACUGGGCGUAGUGGGGAACCAGGACUUUUACCUUGAAAAAAUUAGAGUGUUCAAAGCAGGCCUUUGCUCGAAUACAUUAGCAUGGAGUAAUAGAAUAGGACAUCGGUUCUAUUUUGUUGGUUUCUAGGACCGCUGUAAUGAUUAAUAGGGAUAGUCGGGGGCGUCAGUAUUCAAUUGUCAGAGGUGAAAUUCUUGGAUUUAUUGAAGACUAACUACUGCGAAAGCAUUCGCCAAGGAUGUUUUCAUUAAUCAGUGAACGAAAGUUAGGGGAUCGAAGACGAUCAGAUACCGUCGUAGUCUUAACCAUAAACUAUGCCGACUAGGGAUCGGACGAUGUUAAUUUUAUAAUGACUCG
rnacentral:rRNA from 1 species